rnacentral:snRNA from 1 species
AUAUUUAGUACAUACAUUAAAAUUGGAAUAAUACAGAGAAGACCAGCAUGGCCCCUGCACAAUGACAUGCAAAUUCAAGAAGAAUUCCAUAUUAAU